CUUUCUCCUUUCCCGCUGGCCCUUGCCAGCCCGGUUUGGGGAUGUGGUCCUUGCUGCUCUGCGGGUUGUCCAUCGCCCUUCCACUGUCUGUCACAGCAGAUGGAUGCAAGGACAUUUUUAUGAAAAAUGAGAUACUUUCAGCAAGCCAGCCUUUUGCUUUUAAUUGUACAUUCCCUCCCAUAACAUCUGGGGAAGUCAGUGUAACAUGGUAUAAAAAUUCUAGCAAAAUCCCAGUGUCCAAAAUCAUACAGUCUAGAAUUCACCAGGACGAGACUUGGAUUUUGUUUCUCCCCAUGGAAUGGGGGGACUCAGGAGUCUACCAAUGUGUUAUAAAGGGUAGAGACAGCUGUCAUAGAAUACAUGUAAACCUAACUGUUUUUGAAAAACAUUGGUGUGACACUUCCAUAGGUGGUUUACCAAAUUUAUCAGAUGAGUACAAGCAAAUAUUACAUCUUGGAAAAGAUGAUAGUCUCACAUGUCAUCUGCACUUCCCGAAGAGUUGUGUUUUGGGUCCAAUAAAGUGGUAUAAGGACUGUAACGAGAUUAAAGGGGAGCGG
rnacentral:lncRNA from 1 species